rnacentral:rRNA from 1 species
UACGUAGGGGGCAAGCGUUAUCCGGAAUUACUGGGUGUAAAGGGAGAGUAGGCGGCAAGGUAAGCGAUAUGUGAAAGCCUUAGGCUUAACCUGAGGAUUGCAUAACGAACUAUCUAGCUAGAGUACAGGAGAGGAAAGCGGAAUUCUUAGUGUAGCGGUGAAAUGCGUAGAUAUUAGGAAGAACACCAGUGGCGAAGGCGGCUUUCUGGACUGAAACUGACGCUGAGGCUCGAAAGCGUGGGGAGCG